rnacentral:rRNA from 1 species
GAUGAACGCUGGCGGCGUGCCUAAUACAUGCAAGUAGAACGCUGAAGGAGGAGCUUGCUCUUCUGGAUGAGUUGCGAACGGGUGAGUAACGCGUAGGUAACCUGCCUGGUAGCGGGGGAUAACUAUUGGAAACGAUAGCUAAUACCGCAUGACAACAGUUAUUGCAUGAUAACUGUUUAAAAGGGGCAACUGCUCCACUACCAGAUGGACCUGCGUUGUAUUAGCUAGUUGGUGAGGUAACGGCUCACCAAGGCGACGAUACAUAGCCGACCUGAGAGGGUGAUCGGCCACACUGGGACUGAGACACGGCCCAGACUCCUACGGGAGGCAGCAGUAGGGAAUCUUCGGCAAUGGACGGAAGUCUGACCGAGCAACGCCGCGUGAGUGAAGAAGGUUUUCGGAUCGUAAAGCUCUGUUGUAAGAGAAGAACGAGUGUGAGAGUGGAAAGUUCACACUGUGACGGUAUCUUACCAGAAAAGGACGGCUAACUACGUG